rnacentral:rRNA from 1 species
GACGAACGCUGGCGGCGUGCCUAAUACAUGCAAGUCGAGCGGACAGAAGGGAGCUUGCUCCCGGAAGUUAGCGGCGGACGGGUGAGUAACACGUGGGCAACCUACCCUGUAGAUCGGGAUAACAUCGAGAAAUCGGUGCUAAUACCGGAUAAUCAUUUGAAGUGCAUGCUUCGAAUGUAAAAGAUGGCUCCGGCUAUCACUACGGGAUGGGCCCGCGGCGCAUUAGCUAGUUGGUAAGGUAAUGGCGUACCAAGGCAACGAUGCGUGGCCGACCUGAGAGGGUGAACGGCCACACUGGGACUGGGACACGGCCCAGACUCCUACGGGAGGCAGCAGUAGGGAAUCGUCCGCAAUGGACGAAAGUCUGACGGAGCAACGCCGCGUGAGUGAUGAAGGUUUUCGGAUCGUAAAGCUCUGUUGUUAGGGAAGAACAAGUGCCGUUUGAAUAAGGCGGCACCUUGACGGUACCUAACCAGAAAGCCACGGCUAACUACGUGCCAGCCGCCGCGGUAAUAC